rnacentral:rRNA from 1 species
GAAGCUUGCUUCUCUUGAGAGCGGCUAGAGCGGUGAGUAAUGCCUAGAGAGUCUGCCGAUACGGUGGGGGAUCACGUUCGGAAACGGACGCUUAUCCCGCACACUUCCUACGGGAGAAUCCGGGAGACCUUCAGGCCUCGCGCCAUUAUAUGAUCCUAUGUCAGAUUAGCUAGUUGGUGAGGUAAUGGCUCACCACGGCGACGAUCCAUAACUGGACUGAGAGGAUGAUCAGUCACACUGGAACUGAAACACGGUCCAAACUCCUACUGGAGGCAGCAGUGGGGAAUAUUGGACAAUGGGCGAAAGCCUGAUCCAGCCUUGCCACGUGUGUGAAGAAGGUCUUCGGAUUGUAAAGCACUUUAAGUUGGGAGGAAGGGUAGUAACUUAAUACAUUGCUACUUUGACGUUACCGACAGAAUAAUCACCGGCUAACUUCGUGCCAGCAGCCACGGUAAUACCAAGGGUGCAAGCGUUAAUCGGAAUUACUGGGCGUAAAGCGCGCGUAGGUGGUUCAUUAAGUUGGAAGUGACAUCCCCGGGCUCAACCUGGGAACUGCUUUCAAAACUGCUGAGCUAGAGUACUGUAGAGGGUGGUGGAAUUUCCU